rnacentral:rRNA from 1 species
GACGAACGCUGGCGGCGUGCUUAACACAUGCAAGUCGAACGGAAAGGCCCUGCUUUUGUGGGGUGCUCGAGUGGCGAACGGGUGAGUAACACGUGAGUAACCUGCCCUUGACUUUGGGAUAACUUCAGGAAACUGGGGCAAUACCGGAUAGGAGCUCCUGCUGCAUGGUGGGGGUUGGAAAGUUUCGGCGGUUGGGGAUGGACUCGCGGCUUAUCAGCUUGUUGGUGGGGUAGUGGCUUACCAAGGCUUUGACGGGUAGCCGGCCUGAGAGGGUGACCGGCCACAUUGGGACUGAGAUACGGCCCAGACUCCUACGGGAGGCAGCAGUGGGGAAUAUUGCACAAUGGGCGGAAGCCUGAUGCAGCAACGCCGCGUGCGGGAUGACGGCCUUCGGGUUGUAAACCGCUUUCGCCUGUGACGAAGCGUGAGUGACGGUAAUGGGUAAAGAAGCACCGGCUAACUACGU